AUUGAACGCUGGCGGCAGGCCUAACACAUGCAAGUCGAGCGGAGUGACGGACGGAUGAGUAAUGCCUAGGAAUCUGCCUGGUAGUGGGGGAUCACGUCCGGAAACGGGCGCUAAUACCGCAUCCUAUCAUAUGAGCCUAUGUCGGAUUAGCUAGUUGGUGGGGUAAAGGCCUACAAAGGCGACGAUCCGUAAGUGGGCUGAGCGGAUGAUCAGUCACACUGGAACUGAGACACGGUCCAGACUGCUACGGGAGGCAGAGGUGGGGAAUAUUGGACAAUGGGCGAAAGCCUGAACCAGCCAUGCCGCGUGUGUGAAGAAGGGCUUCGGAUUGUAAAGCACGUUAAGUUGGGAGGCGUUACGAACAGAAUAAGCACCGGCUAACUUCGUGCCAGCAGCCGCGGUAAUUC
rnacentral:rRNA from 1 species